rnacentral:rRNA from 1 species
CGCACGGGUGCGUAACGCGUAUGCAAUCUGCCUUCCCAGAGGGAUAGCCCAGAGAAAUUUGGAUUAAUACCUCAUAGCAUCAUGACCCGGCAUCGGGAUAUGAUUAAAGUCACAACGGUGGAAGAUGAGCAUGCGUCCCAUUAGCUAGUUGGUAAGGUAACGGCUUACCAAGGCUACGAUGGGUAGGGGUCCUGAGAGGGAGAUCCCCCACACUGGUACUGAGACACGGACCAGACUCCUACGGGAGGCAGCAGUGAGGAAUAUUGGUCAAUGGGCGCAAGCCUGAACCAGCCAUGCCGCGUGCAGGAUGACGGCCCUAUGGAUUGUAAACUGCUUUUGUACGGGAAGAAACCCUCCUACGUGUAGGAGCUUGACGGUACCGUAAGAAUAAGGAUCGGCUAACUCCGUGCCAGCAGCCGCGGUAAUACGGAGGAUCCAAGCGUUAUCCGGAAUCAUUGGGUUUAAAGGGUCUGUAGGCGGUCUUGUAAGUCAGUGGUGAAAGCCCAUCGCUCAACGGUGGAACGGCCAUUGAUACUGCUGGACUUGAAUUAUUGGGAAGCAACUAGAAUAUGUAGUGUAGCGGUGAAAUGCUUAGAGAUUACAUGGAAUAC